UGUCGUGAGCUCCAUGAAUGUGACAGGAUAUUAAGGAGGUGGAGUCAUCAUUAUAUGCAAAUAUGAGGAAACAUAUAAAGCAAAUGCAAAGUAUUUCUGUAGAGAUGAUCAGAGACAUGCAUGCUCUGACCUCAUCAAGACUGAGACUAAAGAUAAGAGGAUUCAUUCUGGAAGAUUCUCUCUAUGACAACACAAGUGCAGCAGUCCUGAAAGUGACCAUCAGAGAUCUGAGUGAACAGGAUUCUGGGACGUACUACUGUGUGGUUAAUAAAACUAGAGAACAAGAUUUCUACACUGAAGUGAAUCUGAAGGUUAUAAGAGAUCAGCAAAUCAGGAGUGUGAGAGGAUAUUCAGGAGGAAAUGUUACUAAUGUUACUACCAUGUGAAAUAUUUCUGUAAAACUGCAGCAGAUCAAUGUUUCACUGUAAUAAACUCUAACAGAGCAGCAGAAUGGGAACAGGACAGACGAUUCUCCGUUCAUGAUGACAGAUCUGCAGGUCUCUUGUGUUCAGAGAUCUAAAUGUCGAUGAUUCUGGAAAAUACAGAAUUACAGUCAAAGCUUCUGAAGACUACAGUUUCUUCUCCGAGUUUAGUGAGACGCUUUCAGUCAUUUAUUCAUUGUUUGACAGAAUCCAUGAAUAUAUCUGGUAAGUCUAACAUUGCUGCACUUUAUUUUGAUCUGCAAUUAAAAAUAAUUAAUUUCAUAUUACUACAGUAAAGCAUUAGUGUGGUAAUUUGGACACAGUAUUACUACAGUGUUUUAACUGCAGUUAAUGGUGUUCAUCCAGUAACAUUAUGUAGUGUAUUAUUCAGUGUGAAAUCAUAGGCUUAAGUUCCAGAAACUCAAACAAACAGCUUGCAGAUCUGUUUUCUAAGUGUCUGUGUAUCAGCAAACAUGAAUUCUGGGUAGUGAGUCUGUGAAUGACAUCAGUAACAAGUGUCUGUAUCAUGAGAAAAGUGUCAAGUUCUAGGUGUGAAAAAAAAAGAAAAAAAAAAAAAACAUUUAGAAAUUCAUUGUUUUAUUGUUUUUUAAAAAAAAGUGAUUGAUUUAUCUGGUCAGACAGAUGUGCAGUAAACAGAGUUCAAGAUGAACAUUUACCAUUUUUUAUUUUUUUUUUUCUGUAAAGCUGCUUUGAAGCAAUAUUUAAUGUGAAAAACAAACUAAAAAUAAAAUGAUCUCACUCUUAA